CUUGGUUUAUAAAUCCCAACUUUAAAAUUCCAAGUAGAUGUGUCUGUUAAUCGAUUGCAUUUGGGAUGGAAAUGGUUUUGAAUGAUUUGGAUUUUCAUUAAUUUUAAUUCAUCUGCUAAUCAUAGUUUCAUGUAUUAGAUAGUUGCUUUGCUCUCACAAAUUUUGUUGGUAGGGGUUCAGCAAAGCUUUCUAGGGCUAAAUCUUCAGUUUGCUGUUGGGUAUGUUUACUUUAUGCUUUUGUUUUUUGUUUUUUGUUUUUUGUUUUUGUCUGGAGUAAAUAUGCUUAAGAUGUCACAUGAUUAAAGGUGGAGAAACCACCGUCCCUUUUUUCGUAGAAAUUUGUAAAUUUUUUUUAAAAUAUGUGUGGGUUGCUGAAACUAAUUAUUUGAUCAGUGUGAUUUUUUGUAAUUGAGAAUUUAGGACCUUGGUAACUUGAUUAAAUAGGAAUUUUGUGAUUAGGAAUUUGUGGGUUUACCUCCUAAUUUAAUCCCUUUCUUAAGAGGGAUCUGGUCGUAACACACAAUGGGGGGAAGAGAAGCGGCACCAGGUUCGGCGAUCAAUCUGAAGAGGAAGAGGUCAAUUUUGAGCACAAGUCCAAUCCCCGGCCCAAUUUUGUAAUAAAGGUGUUCCAACCAGUAGCUGAUAAAAUGUCUUUAUGUAUAUGCUUUUGUUGAUUUCUGCUGCGAUAAUGAGGGAAUCCAGAGGAUUGAGGCCAGUUAAUCUGAGUUCAGCACAGUCGGACUACAUAAUCCUACCAUUGGGCUAUUUCUAUAGAGGGUUUAUGUUGACUUUUGUUGGCCUGUUGACAGUCUGGUAGGUCUAUCAUAUUGAUGGAACUAAAUUGUGAGUUAGUUAUGGUUUAGAUUGUUGAAUUUUGAAUUUGCAAUUCCCUUUGAAACUGUCACAAGCGAUGUGUCUGU